AGUGAACGCUGGCGGUAGGCCUAACACAUGCAAGUCGAACGGCAGCACAGGAGAGCUUGCUCUCUGGGUGGCGAGUGGCGGACGGGUGAGGAAUACAUCGGAAUCUGCCCAGUCGUGGGGGAUAACGUAGGGAAACUUACGCUAAUACCGCAUACCACCUUCGGGUGAAAGAGGGGGAUCGCAAGACCUCUCGCGAGUGGAUGAGCCGAUGUCGGAUUAGCUAGUUGGCGGGGUAAUGGCCCACCAAGGCGAAGAUCCGUAGCUGGUCUGAGAGUAUGAUCGGCCACACUGGAACUGAGACACGGUCCAGACUCCUACGGGAGGCAGCAGUGGGGAAUAUUGGACAAUGGGCGCAAGCCUGAUCCAGCCAGACCGCGUGGGUGAAGAAGGCCUUCGGGUUGUAAAGCCCUUUUGUUGGGAAAGAAAUCUUUCAGGCUAAUACCCUGGGAGGAUGACGGUACCCAAAGAAUAAGCACCGGCUAACUUCGUG
rnacentral:rRNA from 1 species